UACGUAGGUGGCAAGCGUUGUCCGGAAUUAUUGGGCGUAAAGAGCGCGCAGGCGGUCGUUCAAGUCGAGUGUGAAGGCCCCCGGCUCAACUGGGGAGGGUCACUCGAUACUGAUCGACUUGAAGGCAGGAGAGGGAAGCGGAAUUCCCGGUGUAGUGGUGAAAUGCGUAGAUAUCGGGAGGAACACCAGUGGCGAAGGCGGCUUCCUGGCCUGUUCUUGACGCUGAGGCGCGAAAGCUAGGGGAGCAAACGGG
rnacentral:rRNA from 1 species